GCCUAGAAAGGAUAGCAAAUUAUAAGAAAACCCAUCCUGUAUUAAGAAUUAUACAGUCUGACUAUAGUCAGUAGUAAUGUGAUUUUACAUUUUAAAAUAACUAAGAGUAUACUUCGAUCAUUUGUAACACAAUGGAUAAAUGCUUGAGGUGAUGCAUACCCCACUUGCCCUGAUGUGAUUCUUACACAUUGCAUGCCUGUAUCAUGCACCCGGUAAAUAUUUACACCUACUAUGUACCCACAAAAAUUAAAAAUAAAACAUUUUUAAAAAGAAAGAACCUAUUGUUUAUUUCUAUUACUAAUGCAGUUUACAUCUUUAUCAUCAGGGAAUCAGGUUAAAUUCUUUAGUUUUCAGAAUAACGUAAUUUAAUGAAGAUAGAAUACUUUCUAAUAGCAAUAUUCCUCAAACUUCUCUUAGACAGCUGAGUAGCUUUUCAUAAAGUAACUUGCAAUUUUGGCUAUUGAUCAUGUAAAUACACAAAACGGUCAAAUAACACUUCACGUAGAACUGAACAGACAGUCUGACUCUUUUACUGGCAAACACUCAUCACCCUCUUAGGCAGAUUUCUGUAACCUGGAUAAAUGUACAACCGCGUCCUUCCACAUCUACUGUGUAUUGUCCAGGUGCCUGUGUUACUUCUGAACGUUGGACCAGUAGGCGGUUAUGACCGUUAAACUGGAUCUCACUGGAUCCUUCACUGCUAAAGGGGUCCGAACGCAGCCCGGGAAAAGAAAGAAAGCAGGACCCCCAUCGCAGGAGUCGGAGGCACCCCCCGCGAGGCGGGGACUGAGAGAGAGCUCCUCUUCCCCCCCAGGAUCUUAGGACCCCCAUCGCGGGGGGGGAGGCACUCCCGCCAGGAUCCCCAUCGCAAGGGGGGAAGACACCGCCCACGAGUCGGGGACUGAGAGCCAGCCCCUCUUCCCCCGCUGGCUUAGGACCCCCACCGCGGAUUCUAAGAUCCUUAGCACCCACCUGGAGGACUGGGGGUUUUAGGUGUCCAAGAAGAAAGCUCAGACCUGCCGACCGCAGGACCUCCAUCGCAGCGGGGCAGGCACACACCGCGAGGCGGGAACUGAGAGCCAGCCCCUCCCACCUCUGGCUCUUAGGACUCACAUUGCAAGUGGGGGAGGCAUCCUCCGCGAGGCGCGGACUGAGAGCCAGCCCCUCUUCCCCCCCUGGCUCUAGGGACCCCCAUCGCAGGGGGUGGAGGCACCCCACGCGAUUCGGGGACUGAGAGCCAGCCCCUCUCCUUCCCCCUGCUCUUCGGACCCCCAUCGCAGGGCGGGGAGGCACCCACCGCGAGGCGGGGACUGAGAGCCAGCCCCUCUACCCCCCGUGGCUCUUAGGAGCCCCAUCGCAGGGUGGGAGGCCACCCGGCGAGGCGAGGAUUGAGAGCCAGCCCGUCUUCCCCCCUUGGCUCUUAGGAGCCCCAUCGCGGGUGGGGAAGGCACCCCCCGCGAGGCAGGGACUGAGAGCCAGCCUCUCUUCCUCCCGUGGCUCUUAGGACCCCCAUCGCAGUGGGGGGAGGCACCCCCCGCGAGGCGGGGACUGAGAGCAAGCCCAUUUCCCCCCCCCCCGGCUCUUAGGACACCCAACGCAGAGGGGGGAGGCACCCCCUGCGAGGCAGGAACUGAGAGCCAGACCCACUUCUCCCCGGCUCUUGGGAUCCCCAUCGCGGGGAGGGGAGGCACCCCACACGAGGCGGGGACUGAGAGCCAGCCCCUCUUCCCCCCCUGGCUAUUAGGACCCCCAUCGCAGGGGGGAGAGGCACCCCCCGAGAGGCAGGGACGGAGAGCCUGCACCUCUUCCCCCACGGGCUCUUAGGACCCCCAUCGCAGGCGCUUCGCACCCCACGCGAGGCGGGUACUGAGAGCCAGCUCCUCUUUCCCCCGUCUCUUAGGACUGCCAUCGCAGAGGGGGAGGUAACCCCCGCCAGGCAGGGACUGACAGCCAGCCCCUCUUCACCUCUGGCUCUUAGGCCCCCAUCGCAGAGUGGGGAGGCACCACAUGCGAGGCGGGGACUGCGAGCCAGCCCCACUUCCCCCCUGGCUCUUGGGACCACCAUCGCAGUGGGGGGAGGUACACCCCGCGAGGCGGGGACGGAGAGUCAGCCCCUCUUCCCCCACUGGCUCUUGGGAACCCCAUCGCAAGGGGGAGAGGCACCCUCCGCGACGCGGGGACUGAGAGACAGCCCCUCUUCCCCCCCUGGCUCUAGGGACCCCCAUCGCAGGGGGUGGAGGCACCCCACGCGAUGCGGGGACUGAGAGCCAGCCCCUCUCCGCCCCCCCCGACCCCGCCCGGGUCUUCGGACCCCCAUCGCAGUGGGGGGAGGCACCCCAUGCGAGGCGGGGUCUGACAGCCAAACCCUCUUCCCCCUCUGGCUCUUAUGACCCCCAUAGCAAGGGGGGAGGCACCCCCCGCGAGGCGGGGACUAGAGCCAGCCCCUCUUCCCACCCUGGCUUAGGACCCCCAUCGCGGAUCCUAAGAUCCUUAGGACCCAACUGGAGGACUGUGGGUAUUAGGUGUCCAAGAAGAAAGCUCAGAUCUGCCGACCGCAGGUACCUUACUUGGGAUUUACUAUACCACAGGGGUCCGAACGCAGCCCGGGAUCAGGAAGAAAGCAGGUCGUUUGCAAUCUACCGGAGCCUAAGGGCAGAAGGCAGGAUCGUGGGAACAAUAUCCCAGGGGGGUUUCCACUUUCUGCCAUAUAUGUAGUCACAUCGCCCACUCCGCCUUGGAAUAUUAUUAAGGACCAUCUAACACGAGGGUGUAUACGUCCUGCGAUAUUACGAGUAAUAUCAACUUCUUGGCCUCUGAAUAUGAGGAAGAAUAUCACAGGGGGUCCGAAUGCAGCCCGGGAUCACAAAGAAAGCAGGUCGUUUGCAAUCUACCAGAGCCUAAGGGCAGAAGGCAGGAUCGUGGGAACAAUAUCCCAUGGGGGUGUACCCUUUCUGCCAUAUAUGUAGUCACAUCACCCACUCCGCCUUGGAAUAUUAUUAAGGACCAUCUAACACGAGGGUGUAUACGUCCUGUGAUAUUGGGAGUAAUAUCAACUUCUCGGCCUCUGAAUAUGAGGAAGAAUAUCACAGGGAUAUUAAUAACAAUUUCACAGGCUGGGUGAACACAGCCGGCGAUGCUGAAAUUAUUAUCAUCCUCUCCCCCUCUUCCCCUCCUGGCUCUCAGUCCCCGCCUCACGGGUUAUGUAGCGGGUUAUGGCAAGAAGACAAACUGCAGUUUCCUGCACAGAACAGCACAAACAAUGAUCCAAGCUCAGUUACAACACAAUAUUGGUCAUCAUUUGACCAUGGACUUCAAUAUCAACCCUUAGAAACCUUCCUAAAACAGGUCAGCAAAACACCAAGAAGCAAUAUCCUGAAUGAUAGGAAAAUAUCCUUGCUUGUGCAAAUUGUUUCCACUUAAUUUUUUUCAACAAAUGUUAAUUAUAUUUUUACUUUCUAAAAAUUUUUAAUAAAAUAUAGCCUACUUGGUUAAAAAUGGUGUCAAAGCUUUUCUAAAAGUUAAGGCAUUACAUAAUUCAGUGGCCCCUGUGGCUGCCAUGGAUAAUUCUUUUUUUUCUGUUCAUCUUCAAAGAAGGGAAUUCAGAAUCAGGAAAAGAUCUUUGGAAAUUCAUUAGCAUAUGGUUUUACUCCGAAACUAAGACCAAACACAAAGAGAAAUGCAGAUUUUUCUCAUGGAAAUAAAACUGCUUUUUUGCAUUUUCAAUUUGUUUCCAAGUAAGGAAAAACAUGUCAUUGUUUCUCAUACCCCCCAUUUCUCCUGUUUUCCUUCUUUUCAUUUGCUUUUCCCAGUGUAUAGCCCACAGAACUAGAGCGAAAGCUUUCUUUUUGGCCCGUAUAUAAUUUGAACAGAGUAUCAUCAGGUGUCUAAUGUACCACCAAGAGUGGUGCUUACGACAAAAAUGUCCUCUAGACUUAUUCUAUGUUCGCUGUGUGAAUGAAGAUACUAAUGGUCAUAAAUUCC
rnacentral:lncRNA from 1 species